UACAGAGGGGGCAAGCGUUAUUCGGAAUUAUUGGGCGUAAAGGGCGCGUAGGCGGGUGGACAAGUCAGGGGUGAAAGCCCACGGCUCAACCGUGGAAGUGCCUUUGAUACUGUCCGUCUGGAGGGAGGUAGGGGCGUGCGGAACUUCCGGUGGAGCGGUGAAAUGCGUAGAGAUGUGGAGGAACACCAGUGGCGAAGGCGACUCUUUGGUCUGUAACUGACGCUGAGGCGCGAAAGCGUGGGGAGCAAACAGG
rnacentral:rRNA from 1 species